AGAGAAAGAGGGACACAUCCCCUCCUCAAUGGC
rnacentral:tRNA from 1 species